rnacentral:lncRNA from 1 species
GCCUUAGUCUGAAUGAGUGCAUUAUUUUUCCUGGGAAGAUGUGAAGUAUUGUCAUGGUGCUAGCAUAUGUGCCAAAUUUUCAUAAGAUUUUUUUUAUCUUUUGAUAUUUAGAAAAAUGUAUGAUCAAUUUUUUUCUCCUCUGGUUUUAGUUUGUGUUUUGAAUGUGAUGAGAUGUCGUAUUCUGACUCUGAUAUUAUGUUUAGUUUUUGGGAAGGAGAAGGUAUGAUGAUGUGGCUUUUUUUACUCUUUAAUUUGAAAAAAGGAACAGGAAUUAUCAAAAUAAAAAAAAUACAUCUUUCGUAUUUUUCAAAGUUAUAUACCAUUUCUUGUUUUUUUUGGGUUAAGAAAGAAUAGGAAGGUGUCCGUCUUGAAACUUUUGGAAAUAGAGUUUAUUAAAAAAAAAGACAACCAAAUUAUUUGAUCUUAAGAGAUAGUGUUUUUGAUAUUUAAGAGCCAAAACCAUAGCAAUAUAGAUAUUUUGUUAUAUUAAAAUUGUUUUCGUAAAAUAUUAUGUUCUAAAAAUAUGUAUUUUUGGUUUUAUUGGUCAAUUUCAUGGGUGUUUUCUAUGUCGUAAUGACAAUGAAAUGCAUAUUUCUUUUUAUUUUACAGUGUCUAGAUAAAGUAUAUAGAAAAAGUAAUAUCAUUGAAAAAUGAAUAAAGACCUUGUCAUACCUCCACCUUCAAAUAUGCAUUUCUAUAUUUGAUAAGUCAAAUUAAAUGUUAUUGUUUUGUUUGUAUAUAUGUUAGUUUUUGUAAAUAUGUAAAGUUUUAAAGAGUUGGAUCUAGUCUUUAUUGGAGCUGUUUAUAGUUUUGUUUUUGAAAAAUGUAUGAUCAAUUUUUUUCUCCUCUGGUUUUAGUUUGUGUUUUGAAUGUGAUGAGAUGUCGUAUUCUGACUCUGAUAUUAUGUUUAGUUUUUGGGAAGGAGAAGGUAUGAUGAUGUGGCUUUUUUAACUCUUUAAUUUGAAAAAAGGAACAGGAAUUAUCAAAAUAAAAAAAAUGUAUCUUUCGUAUUUUUCAAAGUUAUUAUGCUUUUUUUGUUUUUUGUUUGGUAAAGAAGGAAUAGGAAGGUGUCCGUCUUGAAACUUUUUGAAAUAGAGUUUAUUAAAA